rnacentral:rRNA from 1 species
CUUGUCUCAGUUCGGAUUGUAGGCUGAAACUCGCCUACAUGAAGCUGGAGUUGCUAGUAAUCGCGAAUCAGCAUGUCGCGGUGAAUACGUUCCCGGGCCUUGUACACACCGCCCGUCACACCAUGAGAGUUGGCAAUACCCAACGUACGUGAUCUAACCCGCAAGGGAGGAAGCGUCCUAAGGUAGGGUCAGCGAUUGGGGUGAAGUCGUAACAAGGUAGC